rnacentral:tRNA from 1 species
GGACGCAUAGCUCAAAUGGCAAGAGCAUCGCGUUUUAUGCGGACGUACGCAGAUUCGAUUCCCGCCGUGUUCA